UCCGAUAUGGUGUAGUGGCUAACAUUACCGCCUCUCAUGAGAUUCACUGAGUCACGUGCGCGGUAGCCCGGGGUUCAAUUCCCCGUGUCGGAA